rnacentral:lncRNA from 1 species
AGAAGACAGAAAGAGAGAGAGAGACGGAGGUAGGGAGGGACGGAAUGAUUGGGUUUUUAAAAGACAAAUACGCUAUAGGUCCCGCAAUUUAAUACGCUUUUUCUUUGACCCUCCCAAGUUUUAAUUAUUAUAUUAAGGCCCCAAUUUUUGAGGGGGGCAAAUUUUACAAAAAUUCUAAAAUUAUAGGUUAAAAAAAAAUUAUUUCAAACUUGAGGGGGGGCAGCUGCCCCUCCUAGGCACUGAGUACAUCCGCCCUGAUCAUACAUAUUGAUAUAUGGCAGUGGAAAGCAAAAAAGAACCCCAGACUGCAAGUUAUGUAUCUAAUCAAAGACCCAAAUCACAAAAACGUCCAAAUACCGAAUUGUGACUGAUGGAGAUGGAAAACAUCACUAUUAGGUUUCGAUUUGUACUCGCUGGUAAGUACGGUUUACAAAGGUGGCAACAGGUUGAAAUAGUGAUACCGGGGCAAUUUUGCAAGUUCUAUGUAGUGGCAUAUAGGAGAAUUAGGAGGAGAAAAGCAGAUUAUGGAUCUUUGAGGUUGGUGUGGUGAAAGGUGGUGAGGUGGUAGAGUCAAGCCAUACUGGUAAACACCAGAUGGGAGAAGGUGGGUGAAGUGUUAAAAAAAGGGGUUCUUUUGUUCUUUUGUUUAAAACUAUAGUUUAAAUUCAUAAAUUAGAAGAAGAAACAAAGACAGAAAAUAUAGAUAACUUUAAGGAUGCACAGAAAUUGAUUAGAGCUGAAGCCUUAAAUUAAAUUCAAUGUCCUUAAGUCGUUAACGACCCGCCACUCGGUACACGACGCACGGAAUAUAGACGUAUGACUUCCAGAUAUAAUUAAGUAACGAUCUUCGCGAAAUACUCCAAAUCAGAAGAUCACGUCGAACCUGUUCAAAGCCUCUACCUUGUCUCCGCAUAGUAACUGAAUAGAAAGAUGGAGUGCUCAUUUAGCACUCUCUAACCUUGUUUUGAAUCAAUUUUCGAAUGAAGAAAAGAAUUUGGUAUGGUGAAGGUAUUGCUAUGAGUAUAGCCAUGCACACCAUUUCUGAAAAGGUUACUCCCUUUGGAAAGGCCCCAUUCGACCCAAAUAGCAUUUCCAUUCGGCCAACAAAGCUGCGCACAGGUCCCUUUUCACACACAAAUUGAAAGGUUGCAUCUGUUCGGCGUAUUAAAGAAAACAAAAUUCUAAAAAAAAUACAUAAUUUCCACUUCGUUUAAAUUCGGAAAGGGUGUUGUGACCGUUCGUAAAAAGUAGUUAAAAACUCAGUGAGGAAUAAAAUAUAAUUUAGACAAUUAGAAAUUAAAAUACUUGAAUAAAUUUUCUCUAAAAAAUUAAUAUUCAAUUAAGUCCAAAAGCCCCAAGCCCCGGGGGGGGGGGGGGGGGGGGGGGGGGCCCCCGUAUGAACACGAAUCGGACCGGGCCGGGCGGCUGGGCGCAACCACACGUGGGUGAAAUCCAUAAAGCCCAUAGGCUAAUGGAUCAGGCCCACUUUAUAUAUAACUCAUCCUCUUUAAAAACUUGAGGUGCCCAAGGGUCCAAUUUAAAGGUCCAAACUUGGACUUUAUAUUCUUUUUAAUUUUAUUUUCUUUUUUCAACGUGGUACAACCUUAUCUAUCCACAUUUUUUCCUUUGCAUUAAAUCUUCUUUGGAAAUAAGUCUCAUCAAAUUACUUGGGUUUUUUUUUAAUAAAUGAUACACUAAAUUCUAUAUCAUUUAUGAGAAACUAAAUCUAUCAUUCUUUAUCUAAUUUAGUGUAUGAAACUUAAUAAAUUUAGUCCCAAAAAAUGUUCACAACGCACUAUCAAAAACUAAACGCUAACAAUCCCCCACAUGAAUGGACAUUGAUAGAUUGUUUGUAAUGAAAUGUAACCCUAAGAGAGAGAGAAAUGGGAGAAUACCGCAUCAGGAGAGUACCUUCGGCCAAGGAAUGCCUGAGGUCAUAUUUACUAUCGGAUUUACUCGAAAAACAGCCUAGAACAUGACGCCAUGAACGGUUCAAUUUUAAGUGCAAACAAGAACAACAAUAUGCACACGAUAACCAACUCCGAACACUUUUGGUUCUCAUGGUUGUGUUCAUUUUGGACCGUAACAACACCUAGUUUUCAUGAGUGCUCAGAGAAUUAGCCCAAAAUUCUCAUGGAACGGCCCCAAUUCACACUCAUAUAGGUGAACAUUUGUUAAAAGUACUCUGUAAUGCCCGCUUUAAAUAUUCAAGAUACAAAUGUCAUUAAAAGUAUGUUUACCUAAUUGUUCAUACAGACAGCACGUUGUUUUACUUUCAUAUGAAUAGUAGGUCAAAAAGGUUUUAUCCUUUUCUUACCACAUGUGCUUAUACCACUGAGUACACUAUUUUAGUUGUCCUUUUGAACAUAGAUUCUUGAGAUUUUCAGUCAAUUAGGUUGGGUUUCACUAUGGCACUCUUUGACUAGAGACUUAGUCCUAUUUCCCCUCAAAGAUUUAUAAAACGUUUCUCUCUAGGUAAACCUUUUGUAAGCGGAUCCGC